ACCAUACCGUUGCCUGAGUUAUA
rnacentral:siRNA from 1 species